rnacentral:rRNA from 1 species
AUUGAACGCUGGCGGCAGGCCUAACACAUGCAAGUCGAACGGUAACAGAAUGCUGCUUGCUGCUUUUCUGACGAGUGGCGGACGGGUGAGAAAUGUCUAGGAAACUGCCUGAUGUGGGGUGAUAACUACUGGAAACGGUAGCUAAUACCGCAUAACGUCGCAAGACCAAAGGGGGGGACCUUCGGUCCUCUUGCCAUCGGGUGUUCCCAGAUGGUAUUAGCUAGUAGGUGGGGUAACGGCUCACCUAGGCGACGAUCCGUAGCUGGUGUGAGGGGAUGACAAGCCACACGGGAACUUAGACACGGUCAAGACUCCUACGGGAGGCAGCAGUGGGGAAUAUUGCACAAUGGGCGCAAGCAUGAUGCAGCGAUGCCGAGUGUAUGAAGACGGCCUUCGGGUUGUAAAGUCCGUUCAGCGGGGAGGAAGGGAGUAAAGUUAAUACCUUUGCUCAUUGACGUUAACCGCAGAAGAAGCACCGGCUAACUACGUG